rnacentral:rRNA from 1 species
CGUAGGGUGCGAGCGUUAAUCGGAAUUACUGGGCGUAAAGCGUGCGCAAGCGGUUUUGUAAGACAGAUGUGAAAUCCCCGGGCUCAACCUGGGACCUGCAUUUGUGACUGCAAGGCUAGAGUACGGUAGAGGGGGAUGGAAUUCCGCGUGUAGCAGUGAAAUGCGUAGAUAUGCGGAGGAACACCGAUGGCGAAGGCAAUCCCCUGGACCUGUACUGACGCUCAUGCACGAAAGCGUGGGGAGCAAACAGGAUUAGAUACCCUGGUAGUCCACGCCCUAAACGAUGUCAACUGGUUGUUGGGUCUUUACUGACUCAGUAACGAAGCUAACGCGUGAAGUUGACCGCCUGGGGAGUACGGCCGCAAGGUUG